AGGUUUUGAUAAAUCUCCACCAUAGUACCUACUAUGAAGCAUGAAGGAAGCUCUGUUAUGUUUUGGGGUGGCUUUCCUGCAUCUGGAAUUUUGGAGCAAAAUGUGCUGCCCAGUGUUAGGAACCAUGGUGAUGAGUCCUCCAGAUAAUGACCCAAAACUUACAGCUAAAAAAAAAAAAAAGGGCAGGGCAAAGCAUUGGACUGUCCUGAAGUGGCCUCUUUGAGUCCUGAUCUGAAUCCUAUUAAACAUCAGUGGAAGGAGAUGAAACCUGCAGUCUGGAGAAGACACCAUUCACCCCUGAGACAGCGGAGCAGUAUCUUAUGAGGAGCGGGCAGAGAUACCGGGAGACAAGUGCAGAAGUCUCAUUAAGAGUCACAGGGAUUACAGUGAUCUCAAAAGGUUGUGCUACAAAUUAUUAAGUUUAGUGACUGUCAUUUUUGGUUAAUUUUUAUUCGUUAUUUAUUUUUUGUCAGUUUCAAGUCAUUUCAGGCAGCAUUGUGGGUUUUUCUGUCUUUACUGGAUGGGUACUAACAAUUGUCCACGUCUGUAUCUUCCAUAGUGUGUGAUGCAUAGUGAAAAAAUAAAAUGUCAAGAAUUACAGCAAAACAAGCUUCACAUUUACUCUGUAUGCCUUGGGGGUUUCUUUUAUGUACUAUUCUAAAAGGUUGAGGGUUACAAAUGAUCAUAGACAAUUUAAAGCUAUAUGUAUUAUAGUACUAAAUUACUGUAUAUAUUUAUAAUGCCUUUACAUAGUACAUUGCAAAAAAUCCACUAGACUCUCAAAACAAUUACUAAGGAACAUUUUAUUGACUGUUUGCAUCAAUAGAAGCUGAAGAAUAAAAUCCUUUAUACUAAAAGAGAUUAUCCAACAAUAGAAACACAGAGCUAAUUUCUUCCAAAAACAGCACCACCCUUGUUCUCAGUCUUACAUCCAUAAUUGCUAUGGACGUAAAAGCUUUCAUACCUGACUGUCUAUGAUAAAAAACAGACAAGAGGUUAAAAGAACUAUGGCCCGUGGUUCUGGAAAGCAGGCCUGCAUUCUUCUCAGCUAGUUCAGUGUCCUCUUACUGCUCAUCAGACUGACAAGUGCAACUGAUAAUAUUCAAUUUCACUGAAUAAAAAAGGAGAAACCCUUUCACCAUACAGCACAUGGAGGAAGAUGGCUAAGUAGUAGGAUGAAGUUCAUAUUGGAUUUCAGCUUGUUGAUCCUUUGUUUCCAUAACAGAUAAGUAUUGUAGAAAGGUUAUGCAAUAGAUAUUAACACUCAUUCUUGGACAAUAUAAGAUAGCUAUUAUCCAAGAGCUUGUUUGGUUGCCUUCAGAAGUUUAUGAAUCUUUGAUUUGUCCACAGAAAUAUUAGGCCUGUAACAGUGUGUGGUUGGAAACAUAAGUGGCACAUUAAACUGUGUGUAGGAAGGUGUUAAGGUUUCAGCAUUUGAAUGUCACUUUUCUAUGACUCAUUGCAGCCAUGAAUGGAUUCACCCCAUAAAUAAAGUUCUGCACAGUAGCACAUUGUAAUUUACAAAAAAAAUAUAUAAACUAAAAAAAACGUAGUUUUUAUUGAAAAGAAUUCAAUGUACAUUUUCUGCAUAUAAAAAAAAAUCUGUCAAAGAAAAUUGAAGGGGGUUAUAUCUAUAGAUAGAAAUAGAGCCAAUUUCUUUCAAAAACAGCACCACCCCUAUUCUAAGGCAGUGUGUGGUAUUACAACUUGGUUCCAUUCACCUCAAUAGAACUGAGCUGCAAUACCACACAAAACCCGAGGAAAGGUGUG